ensembl:lncRNA
AUGCGCCUCUUGUGGCUGUCCAGAGCCUCCUUGCCCGCCAGCUCCAGGAUGUUGGCCGUCAGGUACUCGAGAACGGCGGUCAGGAAGACCGGGGUGGUGUUCUCAAGGAGACCCCUGAGGUGCUGGUUGCUGCCCAGGGCUCGCUGCACGUGCUCCGGGGUGAUGCGCAUCUUGUGGCUGUCCAAGCCUCCUUGCCCGCCAGCUCCAGGAUGUUGGCCGUCAGGUACUCGAGAACGGCGGUCAGGAAGACCGGGGUGGACGCGCUCAGGCGCGGGGCGUAGCGACCCUCUCGCAGGAGACGCUCCACGCGGCUGACCGGGAAUUGCAGCUCGGCUCUCCUGGAGCGGGACACCGCGGGCCUCCUCCGUCUGCGACGGUGCCGACGGCGGCGCCUCCCAGACAUGCCGCGUGCUGGGUUGGAACCCGACCGGCCCGGCCUGACCGUCCCGCUGGCCCGAGGGUGGCAGGAUGGCGGCGCCGCCUCCUACCAAGUGUGCCCCUCACUGGGCAGGGAGCUGCUUAUAUGACACCUCCGACAUUAUGAUGUCACUGGUGUCGCUGGUGUCACUGUGCCCUGCUCAGGACUGGCCUGGAAACAUCCAUGACAGACACCUGGUCUCCCUGUUGACUGCACUGGACCCUCUUUACGAGGGAACUUGAACAUUCUCCUUGACUGCAGUAUUCUAGCAAAAGAUUUGUUUCAGUGAAUUUUUCCUUGGCUAUAGGACACCACUCCAGGUAUUCCAGCCUUACGUUGUCUUCAAAAUCUCUUUUGUCCCUUUUUAAAUUGUAGGUCAGUGACAGACAUGCACGACCUCCAGGGCAGGCUCAAUUCAUCCCCCUCUCACACAGUAAUCAAACCAAUUUUGCCUCCAUUUAUACAUUCCUCUCACUAUUUCUGAUCAAUAUUCCUGCGUCUCUUCUUUCGAUUCUCUUGUGAACUAGUUACAAUAUCUGCCAAUUUGCUCAUAUGAUAAACAAAUUUUUUCAACAUGUGUUCAUGUCUGUCUAAGUGCCAUGAUUUUAUACUUCUUCCGUAAUUAUCUUUAGCUCUGAAACACCCAUGUCCAAUUGUUCGACCUAGCAGAGCCAGGUAAUCUUCAAUGACAGAGAUGUGGACCACAUGAACACUGAAAGCCCGGGCAUGUCUUUUUUGGCUCUUCAGUGUGACUCCAGUAUACCAAUUAUUACAUUGGUAAAUCUUUUUAUAAUUUGUUUUUCUCUCUUCCUGAUUAGUGUUUCUGUUUUGUUUUGGGUUCAUUUUUAGCCAGUAAGUUAUUCUCGGCUAUUGACAGCCGUGGUUGGGAAUUUGAGUUUUUGUUUUCUUUUCAUUUUAUUGGUCAGGUAAAGCCCACAUAACAUAAAAUUCACCAUUCUGGCCAUCCAUUUUUAAGUGUACAAUUCAGUGUUUUGUUUUGUUUUUAAGUAGGCUCUACACUCAGCGUGGGGCCCAACAGAGGGUUUGAACUGACAACCCUGAGAUCACGGUCUGAGCUGAGAUCAAGAUUCGGAUGCUUAACUGACUGAGCCACCCAGGUGCUCUGCAAUUCAGUGUAUUUUAAUACAUUCACAAUGCUGUGACACUAUCACUUCUGAUUCCAGAACAGUUUCAUAACCCCCAAAAGAAACCCUUUACCCAUUAAAGCAGUAACUCCUUAUUCCUCACUCUUUACCAGCCCCUGGCAAACAAUCUACUUUCUGUCUAUAUUGGUUUCCCUAGUCUAGACAUUUAUAUAAACAGGCUCAUGUGAGACAUUUUGUAUCUGGCUUCUUUUGCUUAGCAUGUUUUCAAGGUUUGUCCACAUUAUAAUGUCUAUCACUACUUCAUUUUUUUUACGGCUGGAAAAUAAUCCAUCGUAUGCCUAGAUCACAUAUUGUUUAUCCGUUUAUCAGCUGAUAGACAUUUAGGCUGUUUCCAACAUUGUGGCUAUUAUAAAUAAUGCUGCUAUAAGAAUUUGUGUACAAGAUUUUGUGUUAACAUAUGGCUUUGAUUUUCUUGUGUAUAUACCUAAAAGUGCAAUUGUUUGGUCAUGUGGUGACAAUUCAUAUUUAUGGUCCCACCAUCUGGAGAUCUUCCUAAAUAGAUUGAUGGCUUGUAGAGAUCUGGUCCCCACUGGAUGAGAGACAACAGAGAAUCCGGUUUGUCAGUCUUUCUGUUUGUCUAUUUUUAGUGCAAAUAAAUGCAGAAUUUCAUGCCCUCUGGGAGCA